rnacentral:rRNA from 1 species
CGCGUGUACUGGUCCGGCCGGGCCUUUCCCUCUGUGGAACCCCAUGCCCUUCACUGGGUGUGGCGGGGAAACAGGACUUUUACUGUGAAAAAAUUAGAGUGCUCCAGGCAGGCCUAUGCUCGAAUACAUUAGCAUGGAAUAAUAGAAUAGGACGUGUGGUUCUAUUUUGUUGGUUUCUAGGACCGCCGUAAUGAUUAAUAGGGACAGUCGGGGGCAUCAGUAUUCAAUUGUCAGAGGUGAAAUUCUUGGAUUUAUUGAAGACUAACUACUGCGAAAGCAUUUGCCAAGGAUGUUUUCAUUAAUCAGGAACGAAAGUUAGGGGAUCGAAGACGAUCAGAUACCGUCGUAGUCUUAACCAUAAACUAUGCCGACUAGGGAUCGGACGGUGUUAUAUUUUGACCCGUUCGGCACCUUACGAGAAAUCAAAGUGCUUGGGCUCCAGGGGGAGUAUGGUCGCAAGGCUGAAACUUAAAGAAAUUGACGGAAGGGCACCACCAGGGGUGGAGCCUGCGGCUUAAUUUGACUCAACACGGGGAAACUCACCAGGUCCAGACACAAUGAGGAUUGACAGAUUGAGAGCACUUUCUUGAUUUUGUGGGUGGUGGUGCAUGGCCGUUCUUAGUUGGUGGAGUGAUUUGUCUGCUUAAUUGCGAUAACGAACGAGACCUUAACCUGCUAAAUAGCCCGUAUUGCUUUGGCAGUACGCUGGCUUCUUAGAGGGACUAUCGG